rnacentral:rRNA from 1 species
GUGGGGAAUUUUGGACAAUGGGCGCAAGCCUGAUCCAGCCAUGCCGCGUGCGGGAAGAAGGCCUUCGGGUUGUAAACCGCUUUUGGCAGGAACGAAACGGCGACUCCUAAUACGAGUCGUUAAUGACGGUACCUGCAGAAUAAGCACCGGCUAACUACGUGCCAGCAGCCGCGGUAAUACGUAGGGUGCAAGCGUUAAUCGGAAUUACUGGGCGUAAAGCGUACGCAGGCGGCUUUGCAAGACAGGUGUGAAAUCCCCGGGCCUAACCUGGGAACUGCAUUUGUGACUGCAUGGCUAGAGUCUGUCAGAGGGGGGUGGAAUUCCACGUGUAGCAGUGAAAUGCGUAGAGAUGUGGAAGAACACCGAUGGCGAAGGCAGCCCCCUGGGAUGAGACUGACGCUCAUGUACGAAAGCGUGGGGAGCAAACAGGAUUAGAAACCCCGGUAGUCC